rnacentral:rRNA from 1 species
UACGUAGGUGGCAAGCGUUGUUCGGAAUUAUUGGGCGUAAAGGGCGCGUAGGCGGUUUGUUAAGUCGGCUGUGAAAACUCAGGGCUUAACCCUGAGCUUGCAGUGGGUACGGGCAGACUAGAGUGCGGUAGGGGAGACUGGAAUUCCUGGUGUAGCGGUGAAAUGCGCAGAUAUCAGGAGGAACACCGGUGGCGAAGGCGGGUCUCUGGGCCGAAACUGACGCUGAGGAGCGAAAGCGUGGGGAGCGAACAGG